rnacentral:rRNA from 1 species
CCUACGGGAGGCAGCAGUGAGGAAUAUUGGUCAAUGGGCGGGAGCCUGAACCAGCCAAGUCGCGUGAGGGAAGACGGUCCUAUGGAUUGUAAACCUCUUUAGGCGGGGAGCAAUGCCGGGCACGUGUGCCCGGAGGGAGAGUACCCUCAGAAUCAGCAUCGGCUAACACGGUCCCAGCCGCCGCGGUAAUACGGAGGAUGCGAGCGUUAUCCGGAUUUAUUGGUGUUAAGGGGUGCGUAGGCGGAUUUUUAAGUCACCGGUAAAAUGUCCGGGCUCAACCCGGGCCGGCCGUUGAAACUGGGGAUCUUGAGUGGGCGAGAAGUAUGCGGAAUGCGUGGUGUAGCGGUGAAAUGCAUAGAUAUCACGAAGAACUCCGAUUGCGAAGGCAGCAUACCGGCGCCCGACUGACGCUGAGGCACGAAAGCGUGGGGAGCAAACAGGAUUAGAUACCCGAGUAGUC